AUCUUCAACCGUUCUUUCCUUUUCUUGAGUCUAAGACCUUCAUCUUCGACUCCAUUCUUCACUUUCUCAAAAUUGCUACAAAACAAUGCAAAACAAGCAUAAUAUCGCUAAAAAUAGCUUUUGACUCUCUACAGACUCAUUUAUUGAUUUUUGCUAAAUUCUAAGCUCAUUCUAAGUAGUAAAGGAAGUAAUUUGGUCUAAAAUGACAUAUGAAAAUAACUGUUUUUCAACCUUCAUCACACCCCAAACUUAGAACUUUGUUUGUCCUCAAGCAAACAAAACAAAACAACAAACAAAACAGAGCUUGGCUUUAUACUAUUUCAUCCAAUGAUUCAACACUUCUAAAGUACAUGAAAAACACUACACAACCUCAAAUCUUCAGUGGAAUCAAAUUAAGAUGUAUGCAUGCUUUCAAUCCAGAGAUUGCACAACAGAUGUUACACAUUAUGAAUGACCAAUCCACUAAGCAAAAAUGCACUCAUGAAAAUUAAUAAUUCAUACAAGCAAGUGUUUCACUCAAUCACUCAAAUGUUUAGGGUGACACUCCAACUCUCUAUCAUUCACAAGUCACAAGAAAUAAAAUUGUCGUUCAUCUCAAACAAUCAACAUCUUUACAUGCAAAUGCCAUCAAAAGGACUUUUCCAAGGCUUGUAAUGAGGUUGGGUUAACAAGAAAAAUUGAUUUUUCUGGAAAACAAAAUCCUUGAGUUAAGAGAGCUAUCAUAAUAUUCAACAUUUAAGCACAACUCUCUUCCUCACCAAUCUCUUUCAUUCCCAACUUUUUCCCUUUUUCUUUUUUCAUUGAGCUCAUCUUCAUGCUUUUUCUUAUUUUUUCUUUUUCUAAUGCAUUUUUUUUUCAACAAUUGAGCUCAAUUCUUCUUAAUAGCUUUCCAAUUUCCCCCAUGCAACCCCAAACUUGAACCUUUUCAUCACAUACAGUUAAGCUCAUCCCAACUCAAGGUAAAGAAUUUCAAGACAAGGGUUCAUAUCCUGUUUAAGGCUAAGGUUCAAAAAGGGUAUAAUAUUUUAAGCUCUGUGGGUGAAAAUUUGGCUAGAGAAGGGCUUUCAAAAAUGGCCUUGAUCAUAUGACAUUCACAUGCAAUUCAAUCAAUCAUCAAGAUUAAGGAAUUAUCAUUCAUGCUUUCUUGUGAAAAAUUUAUAUAAUCAACAUGAUUUCUCACACAACAUUCAUUCAUACAUCCUACUUAGCAUCAUAACCACAAUCAUAAUUCAUCACACGUCUGUUUCACUGGCUAUCAACAUGCAACACUACUCAAUUAUCAAUCACAUCAAAUCAUCAUCAAAUAAGUUCAUCAUGCAAAUUAAUCAGUCAAACAUCUUCAGAAAAGUAUUUAGGCCAAGCAUACACACUGAAAAAUAAAAUUCAACCUAUUCAAAAAAUUUAAAAUGCAAAAGUCAAAAGAUAAAGCAAUAAAACCUGGGUUGCCUCCCAAUAGCGCUUCUUUAACGUCACUAGCUUGACCUGGUGGAGUUCAAACACCCAUCAGUAAGUGUUGAUACUCCCAUUUGCUUGAUGUUCUUUUGUUUUUCUUCUUUCUACUGAAUCUCUUCAGAAAAUUGAUAACACCAAGCACUUGUUUCCAUGUCUCCAUCAUAGGAACUUUGAUCUCCAAUUUCUUGAAGAUCUCCAUGAAGCAUAUAAAUUUAUUUUUCUUCCUAUGAUAUUUCUUUUUAUGAGGAAGGGGUUUUUCAUAUGAUUUUUUCUUCUUUCCUCUCUUCCUCUUUUUCUUAAUUUUCUCCUCCCUUAGCUUUCUCUUUUUCUUUUUCUUUUCUUUCUUUAUUUUCACAUUUUUUUUUCUUUUUUUCUUUUUUUUCAACUACUUCUUUUCCUUUCUCAUCAUCCUUCUUACUCUCACUCAACUUUUCUGUUUCUAUCUCCUCCAUCUUUUCCGCAGCAACAACUUUUUCUGUUUUUAUUUCCUCUUUCUUUUCUUCCUUUAUUUUCUCCUCAUAUAUCUCUAUCUCUUCUUCUUUUAUCUUUUCCUCCUCGACAACCUUAUCAUUUUUAGAGAUUGUGGCUUGAUAUUCUUCUUUAGCGUUAACUUCAGUAUUAUCCCUAAUAAUGCCCAGAGACUUCAAUACCUUUGUUAUCUCAUCUUCCUCUAUCUUCCCUUCAUCAAUAACCUUGUCAUCCUCAAAGAUAGUGACUUGACAUUCUUCUUUAGGGUUAACUUCAGUAUAAACCCUAAUAAUACCUAGAGACUUCAACGCACAAGAGUGUUGUUCCUGCAAUAAACGUUCUUCUGCUUCCCCCAACGUUUCUUUUGGCAAAGAGAAUAGUUUCUGCCGUAAACGUUCUUUACCUUCCCCC
rnacentral:lncRNA from 1 species